rnacentral:tRNA from 1 species
CACUGCGUUGCGCACGCCGUUGUCCGACGGCUGCUGCAACCGGGCGAAUACGUGCGGUGCGAAUGCGCGCGCGGCGGC